AUGUCAAGGCCAUGCCAUCUUAUGCAGGCUAGCAGCAACAUGAAGUCAACAAGCGCCAGCGUGUCAUGUCCCUGCAAACAAACAGCAUGGAGAAGGCUGCCAGGAGAAAUGACAAGGGUGUUGAUCACACAGGACGUCAGCGGUGAAGAAGAAAGAUCCCUGCAUCUCUGUCAUCACUUCCAAGGCAGGGCCUUUCCCUCUGCAGAAAGCAGUCCAGAGGCUUGCAAGUCAACACUGGGAAACCCUCUUUGCAGCAAUCCUCUACGAUUAACUGCAACAGAAUCAGUGGCUUGGCUGAAGAGAAGCACAGAAUACAGUGCACCUCGGUGUUCACAGAUCCUCACCAUCAGGGCAAGUUUUCCUGAAAAUUAUGAAAAAUGAAAGCUUUGCUUCUUUAUCGUUGCAGGGUUAUUUCUAUGCCUCAGUCCUCUUAAAGGGAGUCCCACUUCCCAGCCUUCCCAGUCUCCUCCCAUUUCCUCCCUGACAACCCGGUCAAACAACCUCAUCUCUUCCCUGGCAAAAUUAAUUUUCUGUAAAAGCUGAUACUCAUCCUUAUUUAAGUGUAACUGAGAGAUAGGAACAAUAUGUGUCCUCUUAUACAGAGCUUUUCUAGCAUGUUGCCUGGGAACAAAGCCUUAAGCUUAAGAAAAGAAUUUCUACAGGUUGCCAUUUCUAGGACAAAAUCUGAGACCAUUUUGUGACAAAGAAUAAAGGUUUUUCAGAGGCCCUGAAGUUAGGUUUU
rnacentral:lncRNA from 1 species